GAAAAUGUUCACCAUCUUCCCCACACUUUUAACUCUCUGUAUUCAUUCCUUCAAAGGAACUCACACGGAGAACUAUGACAGGAAAAUUUUCGAAAGAAAAGUCUCAAAAAAGGAACCAACUACCAUUCUUCAACUUCAGUCGUGGCUUAUAACAGAAUCAUGAAUCACACAGGUCCAAUAUAGAAACUGUUUGUUAGGGGUGAACAACAGAGGUACCGCUAAACAACUAGGAUUACUAUUGAAACAGAGAACACGGAAUGUCACCAGAGCUGUACCUGAGGACGUCUGAAGUCUGAUUUGAGUCAAGUGGGUGGGAGUGUUUGCUGUGAAGCAGCUCGUCAGAUUGCACUGAAGGCACGUGGAGGUGCAAAGAGGCCUAAAAGCAUCUUGAAGAACUGGCUGAAGAGAGAGGAGCAUUCGAAGUAUAUCCUGCGAACACUGCAUACUCAUAUCUACAACCAUUAAAAAAAAAAGUGAGUAAUAAUUGCU